AGGGUUCGAUUCUGGCUCAGGAUGAACGCUAGCUACAGGCUUAACACAUGCAAGUCGAGGGGCAGCAUGAUCGAAGCUUGCUUUGAUUGAUGGCGACCGGCGCACGGGUGAGUAACGCGUAUCCAACCUUCCCUAUAGUAGAGAAUAGCCCGGCGAAAGUCGGAUUAAUGCUCUAUGUUGUAUUUAGAAGACAUCUGAAGAAUACCAAAGGUUUACCGCUAUAGGAUGGGGAUGCGUCUGAUUAGGUAGUAGGCGGGGUAACGGCCCACCUAGCCGACGAUCAGUAGGGGUUCUGAGAGGAAGGUCCCCCACAUUGGAACUGAGACACGGUCCAAACUCCUACGGGAGGCAGCAGUGAGGAAUAUUGGUCAAUGGACGGAAGUCUGAACCAGCCAAGUAAGCGUGCAGGAUGACGGCCCUAUGGGUUGUAAACUGCUUUUAUAUAGGGAUAAAGUCGGGGACGUGUCCCCGUUUGUAGGUACUAUAUGAAUAAGGACCGGCUAAUUCCGUGCCAGCAGCGGC
rnacentral:rRNA from 1 species